AUUGAACGCUGGCGGCAUGCUUUACACAUGCAAGUCGAACGGUAACAGGCCGCAAGGUGCUGACGAGUGGCGAACGGGUGAGUAAUGCAUCGGAACGUGCCCAGUCGUGGGGGAUAACUACUCGAAAGAGUAGCUAAUACCGCAUACGAUCUAUGGACGAAAGCGGGGGACCGGAAGGCCUCGCGCGAUUGGAGCGGCCGAUGUCAGAUUAGGUAGUUGGUGGGGUAAAGGCUCACCAAGCCCACGAUCUGUAGCUGGUCUGAGAGGACGACCAGCCACACUGGGACUGGGACACGGCCCAGACUCCUACGGGAGGCAGCAGUGGGGAAUUUUGGACAAUGGGCGCAAGCCUGAUCCAGCAAUGCCGCGUGCAGGAAGAAGGCCUUCGGGUUGUAAACUGCUUUUGUACGGAACGAAACGGCUCUGGUUAAUACCCGGGGCUAAUGACGGUACCGUAAGAAUAAGCACCGGCUAACUACGUG
rnacentral:rRNA from 1 species